rnacentral:rRNA from 1 species
AUACGGAGGGUGCAAGCGUUAUUCGGAAUCACUGGGCGUAAAGGACGCGUAGGCGGGUUGGCAAGUCAGAUGUGAAAUCCUACAGCUUAACUGUAGAACUGCAUUUGAAACUGCUAACCUAGAGUAUGGGAGGGGGAGAUGGAAUUAGUGGUGUAGGGGUAAAAUCCGUAGAUAUCACCAGGAAUACCGAAAGAGAAGGCGAUCUCCUGGAACAUAACUGACGCUAAGGCGUGAAAGCGUGGGGAGCAAACAGGAUUAGAAACCCCAGUAGUCC